CAGAUGGGAGGGGAGGCCUGGGGAGGGUGGGCAGCCCAGCCAAGGCGAGGGUGUGGGGCUUUGGCCAAGCAGAUAUUUUCUGCAGGCUCUCAGCUUUGAUUAGCAUAUAUUAAGGAUACGGGAGAGAAAGGUGUCCGGCCUCUUGUGGGUAUUUGGAUGUAACCACUUCACUGCCUUCUGGAAGCCAAGCCUGGAGGCAAAGGAAGGGCCUGACCCAGUGGAGUGCCCAGUCUGGGCUCUCGUCAACUUUGUCCUUUCUAUGCCGAUGCCUGUGGGGCCAGGCUGAGGCCAAAAAUGAGCUGGGGUCCCCAUGGAGCAGGACACCCCCUCCAAUUUCAUGCGGGCAAUUCUACUUUGGUUUCUUGGAUAGUGCCUGGAAAACCUCCUUAGGAACUGACUGCAGUGGAAGCAGAUGUGUCCCAGUCUGGCCACUUGAACAUCAGGAACACUCUUGUUCCCAGGCAUACUUUGGAGCUAUUGAGACUUCAGUUCCAGACCACUGCAAUAAAGCAAGUAUCACAAUAAAGUGAGUCACAUGAAUUUUUUGAUUUCCUAGUGCAGUAAGUUAUGUUUACACUGUACUAUAGUCUAAUAAGCAACAGCAGUACACAUAAAAAAAAUGCACACCCUUCAUUUGAAAUACUUCACUGUUAAAAAAUGCUAAUAAUCAUCUGCCCCUUUAGCCUUUUGAUGGUGGAAGGUCUUGCCUUAUUGGUGAUG
rnacentral:lncRNA from 10 species